rnacentral:lncRNA from 1 species
CAAUAUUCAUGUUUAUUUCUCUAAAGCAAAGGCAAUGGAGCAGGAUGCGGACCAUGGAUUAAAAAUAUGGAAAGAGCUACCACUAGCAAGGAAGACCCAGCCUCCAGCACAGGAGGGAUUAAAGGCUGCUCCAGCAGGGAGUUUAGCUCCAUGGACACCUUUGAAGACUGUGAAGGCGCAGAAGACAUGGAAGAGGAGAGCAGCGCUCUGAGUCUCGCCGGCCUUUUCCAGUCGGACGACAGUCACGAAACCUGUUCCUCCAAAUCUGCUUUCCUGGAGAGGGGAGAAAGCACCCAGGGAGAAAAAGAAGAACGCGAUGAGGAGGAAACGUGAGUGUGAGCGAGGAAAGACUAAGCGCCUCUUUGGGCCACGGCGUCUCUGACUUUCUUCUCGGAAUUGCAGGGCGACCCGCAGCACGGAGGAGGAGCGCGCUGGGGCGUCCACGGGCGGGCUGGCUCCUGCGGGGGCGACGGCUGGUUUCCAGGCGAGGGCGCUGCGCCCGAGGACCUCC